UGCCAGACUCCUACGGGAGGCAGCAGUGAGGAAUAUUGGUCAAUGGGCGCGAGCCUGAACCAGCCAAGUCGCGUGAGGGAUGACGGCCCUACGGGUUGUAAACCUCUUUUGCCGGGGAGCAACGGGCGCCACGUGUGGCGCCACUGAGAGUACCCGGAGAAAAAGCAUCGGCUAACUCCGUGCCAGCAGCCGCGGUAAUACGGAGGAUGCGAGCGUUAUCCGGAUUUAUUGGGUUUAAAGGGUGCGUAGGCGGACAGUCAAGUCAGCGGUAAAAAUGCGGUGCUCAACGCCGUACAGCCGUUGAAACUGGCAGUCUUGAGUGGGCGAGAAGUAUGCGGAAUGCGUGGUGUAGCGGUGAAAUGCAUAGAUAUCACGCAGAACUCCGAUUGCGAAGGCAGCAUACCGGCGCCCGACUGACGCUGAGGCACGAAAGCGUGGGUAUCGAACAGGAUUAGAUACCCCAGUA
rnacentral:rRNA from 1 species